GUUGAACGCUGGCGGCGUGCCUAAUACAUGCAAGUCGAGCGAAGCGGGGACGGGUGAGUAACACGUGGAAAACCUCCUAUCCGACUGGGAUAACUUCGGGAAACCGGUGCUAAACCCGACAAUUAUAGAUGGCUCCGCGCUGAAUUAUCUAGUUGGGAAGGUAACGGCUUACCAAGGCAACGAUCCAUAGCCGACCCGUUCGGAUGAUAGGCCACACUGGAACUGAGACACGGUCCAGACUCCUACGGGAGGCAGCAGUAGGGAAUCUUCCGCAAUGGGCGAAAGCCUGACGGAGCAACGCCGCGUGAGUGAUGAAGGUCUUCGGAUCGUAAAACUCUGUUAUUAGGGAAGCGGUACCUAAUCAGAAAGCCACGGCUAACUACGUGCCAGCAGCCGCGGUAAUUC
rnacentral:rRNA from 1 species